CACGUAGUUAGCCGCGGCUUUCUGAUUAGGUACCGUCAAGACGUGCAUAGUUACUUACACAUUUGUUCUUCCCUAAUAACAGAGUUUUACGAUCCGAAGACCUUCAUCACUCACGCGGCGUUGCUCCGUCAGGCUUUCGCCCAUUGCGGAAGAUUCCCUACUGCUGCCUCCCGUAGGAGUCUGGACCGUGUCUCAGUUCCAGUGUGGCCGAUCACCCUCUCAGGUCGGCUACGCAUCGUUGCCUUGGUAAGCCGUUACCUUACCAACUAGCUAAUGCGGCGCGGAUCCAUCUAUAAGUGACAGCAAAACCGUCUUUCACUAUUGAACCAUGCGGUUCAAUAUAUUAUCCGGUAUUAGCUCCGGUUUCCCGAAGUUACUCCCAGUCUUAUAGGUAGGUUAUCCACGUGUUACUCACCCGUUCCGCCGCUAACGUCAGAGGAGCAAGCUCCUCGUCUGUUCGCUCGACUUGCAUGUAUGGCACGCCGCAGCGUUCAUCCUGAC
rnacentral:rRNA from 1 species